rnacentral:rRNA from 1 species
GGAAUCUUGCACAAUGGAGGAAACUCUGAUGCAGCGAUGCCGCGUGAGUGAAGAAGGCCUUUGGGUUGUAAAGCUCUUUUGUAGGGGAAGAUAAUGACUGUACCCUAAGAAUAAGGUCCGGCUAACUUCGUGCCAGCAGCCGCGGUAAUACGAAGGGACCUAGCGUAGUUCGGAAUUACUAGGCGUAAAGCGCGCGUAGGCCGUUGAGUUAGUUAAUUGUGAAAUCCCAAAGCUUAACUUUGGAACUGCAAUUAAAACUGCUCGACUAGAGUUUGAUAGAGGAAAGCGGAAUACAUAGUGUAGAGGUGAAAUUCGUAGAUAUUAUGUAGAACACCAGUUGCGAAGGCGGCUUUCUGGAUCAACACUGACGCUGAGGCGCGAAAGUAUGGGUAGCAAAGAGGAUUAGAUACCCUCGUAGUCCAUACCAUAAACGAUGAUUGCUAGAUGUUGGAAAUUUAUUUUUAGUAUCGCAGCUAACGCAUUAAGCAAUCCGCCUGGGGAGUACGACCGCAAGGUUAAAACUCAAAUGAAUUGACGG